UAUACAAAUAUUCUUUCUCCAAAAUUCUUGUGCUGGUUUUAUAUUAAAGAAUUUUGUUAGUUUCUGGCUCCUAAUUUUAUAUUAGAAGAGCUUGUUGAAUUUGGGAAUAUAUCUAUACCGGGUGAAAUAUCUUUAAGGACAGGGUUUUUCAACACGCCUCAAGCUAUGAAAAUUUCCUACAAAUGUUCAUGACAAAGGUAUUUUCCAUAAGAUUUCCAACAUACUUAACUCAAAGGAGAUCUAUGAAUAUUGUCACUUCAACCAAUAGACGUACGAAGUACGAAGACAAGAAAUUUCAAGUAAGAAGAGCAUAUGAAUAUUUUGGCCAUAUUAGGCAUGUUGACUUGUAGAAAGUAAAGGCUCUGUUCACAUAUAUCAACUGCACCGACUCCCUUUAAACUGAGAAUGCUCAGCUGAAGGUUGACAUCAAGACUCCUCAGGACGAGAUCACAGCUUAAGAAGAAGAUAAUACAAGAGCAGUUGGUGCACAAUGGGUGUAUUGAAAAAACUGCUAUAGGGCGUUGAAGCUUACUGCUAGCCGCACCUACUGCAUAUUCUGAGAACUGGUCUAGUAGUUGUUAGGUGUGAUCGAGUUUGUAAUUGUUUGUUUAUUGAAGUUUUGUUUGUUAAGCAAGAGUCACUAUGUGUGUUGAAUGUUGGUUUGUAGAAUGCUAGAGACUUAGAGUUAUAAGUUUUUGUUGAGUUUAUUAGUCGGAGUAAACAGAUUUGUUCGAGGUAUUGGAGUUAGUUCAUUUGAUUAUUGAGUUGUAAUCUAAAAUCAGUCUUUGAAGUUUAGUGAACGUUGCUAAAAAACCUACACCACUGUAGGUCUUUUACAUCGUUGAAGUUUAGUGAAGUUUAUAUAAAGGCCGUAUUAGUUUGAUAAUUUUAUCGUGUACCUACUACCUCCCACUGGCGUAGGUAUUUGUUAUUCUGCCUAGGCAGAUGGAAAUUUCUAGCCUUUUUUGUUUGUGCUGGAACUUGAGCGGUAAUCUCAUUCAUUUCAUUGAUCACUAGAAAGCGGUGGCAGAUCGCAAUUGCAAUCAAGUAGUGGGAAGGGGAUCCAAUCUUAAUUCUAGAAUUGACUUCUUCUAACUCAAUCAUCAAUCUACUUUGUUCCUUUGGCGUAUUAUAUUAGUUUUUACCACCAAUCUUUUCUACUUGGUGGUACUAUGUUAGUUUUUACCCUUAAAAUUUACUCCUCCUCUGAAGCCUCACUAUGUGGUAUCUCUUACGCCUUUUUGUGGCCCCAAAUUGUGUCCGGGUUACAAGUACCUUCAAAUUUAAAGAAGUUGGUACUAUUCGGGACUGAUAUAGAAAGAGCAAUUUCCUUCAUUGCGGGAUUACCAAGCCUGGAGUAUCUCCAGUUACAAGAUCUGUAUCUUAUAGAUUCUGAACCGAGUUUUUCUCAAUCAAAAGAGUGGUGCCUUCGAGAUAUCACGUUCCAUAAACUGAAGUUCUUGAAACUGUCGUGCUUAAGUAUCUCAAGGUGGGAUGCCUUGGAGGAAUCCUUUCCCUGCUCGAAACACUUGUUAUAAGAGCAUGCGACAAUCUCAAGGAGAUCCCCCUUAGCUUUGUAGAUAUUCCACCACUGAAAUAAAUUAAGUUGAUUUUGUGCAACAACAAAUCUCUGGAGGCUUCAGCUGUGAGAAUUAAGGAAGAAGUCGAAGCGAUUGAAAGAUGUGACUGUGUUGACAUCACUACCCAAAAUUUGGGGGGAAGGAAUAUAAGGAGGCCGUGAAUCAAGUAUGUACCCGUAACCACAACCAUGGUAUUGUAACACUACUACUGAUUGCUAAGUUUGUCUUAAUUGAUCAACUCUUUUUCUGUAUGAUUGGAGACAAAUAUAUAUCAGAUGGUCUUUUACUGUGAUUUCUUGUUGCCUUCUGUCAAAUCAUUGUUUCAUUUUUGUUUUUGAACAUCAUAGGAAGCCAGAUAUAUCGAUAUCACCUGUCAAACCCCUAAUCAGCUUUCCAGGAGGACAAUGGCAGUCCCUGAAAUUAAUGAGUAUAAUUAGUUAACGACAAUGUUGAUAGUAUAUGGUAUAGCCACACAAAUCUUAUGACAGGUUUAGACAACCCCUGAAGUAAUAUAUUGUUAGCACAUUCAUUAUGUUAGAACGAUAUUUGAUUUAUUGGAGAGUGCUACCCAGCUUCAAAUACUACACCUUACCUUUGAGUGGUCCACCAUUGUAUCCGAGUUACACUUGCCUUCAAAUAUAAAGAAGUUGGUACAUACGGGGACUCAUAUAGAAAGCACGAUGUCUUUCGUUGCAGGACUACCAAGUGCACUGGAUUUGUGAAGGAUUCAAAAUCAAGAAAGAAGUCGAAGAGAUUGAAGGAUGCGAUUGCAUAGACCUCAUCAUUAUCGAAGUAAGUAGAAACAAACGCCUAUGUGCUGUGUUUUGAGUAGCUAUGUGCAUCUAAUUUGAUAACAGCAUGUAUAAUACAGUGAGGAGAGCUUUUUCUAGCAACUGUGAGUCAAGUGCCUGCAAAACAUUUUGCAAGAGCAUCCGCAACUUCAUUUUGCGAAAAAAAAUAUUUCAAUCAAUACUUUUUGCUACAUGGAAAGCAGCUUGAAUAAAGCAGUAUCAUAGUACUAUUAGCACUCUACUUUCAAUUAUCAGAAGAAUAUCAAGAAAUGGCUCCAAAAGGUACACUGCUGUAUGCCUUCGUACAGAUGCGGUACUUUGGGCACUUGGGUUGCUUUGAAUGAGCACACAUGCUGUCUCCUAGCACUGCACUUACUGUUUUUCUUUUGUUUUAUAUAAAGGCCACAUUAGUUUGCCAACGAUAAUUUUAUUAUGUACCUACUACCUCCCACUAGCAUAGGUAUUUGUUAAUUCUGUCUACCAACAUUUAUGCAAAUGGGAAAUUUCUUGCCUUUCUUUGUUUGUACUGAACUUGAGCGUAAUCUCAUACGAUUUUCACCCAUUUCAUUGAUGACUAGAACGCGGUGACAGAUCGCAAUUGCAAGCAAGUAGUGGAAAGGGUAUUCAAUCUUAAUUCUAGAAUUGACUUCUUUCAACUCAAUCAUCAUUCUACAUUGUUCCUUUGCGCACUAUGGUAGUAUUUACGAGCAUUCUUUUCUACUUGAACCUAAUCAAGUAGAAGAUAAUGCUGAUCAAUCAAACGUCAAAGGAGGUAGCAGAGAGGGUCUGUUGCCUAAAUGUCCAGUUGAUACCUUACUUUGCAAAUUGCAAAUAACUAUGCUGUGGACCAAAUUGACCUAUAAAAGGGGAGAAAAGAGCUAUAUGAUGAAAAGUUGUGCAGAGAGAUUCUGUUCUUUUAGCACAUGCUAAUGAUUCCUUUUGUUCCUUAUGGCUAACAAUCAAUAUAUGAAUGUGCCUUAUCAAAUCAAACAGA